UGGCUUAUCUCAAAGCUGGUGGUUGUCUCAUUGUUUUGCUUCUGGUUUGUGCUGGAGACAGAGGGAGUGGCGGGAAUGUCAACCACCACAUGCCCAGAAGGUGAUCUCUUGUUAAUUUUCCUUUGUACCAAGUGGAUGUACGAGUAGUGGCCACGUAAGCGAGCAUAAUCUUCAGGUGUAGAGCCAGUGCUGUCCUGAGCACUAUUCCAAGCAUCAAUGCCAACCUGAACAGAAAAUAAGCACAAUACUUAAGAAGUCAAUAGACCAUGGCUGACAGAAUCCAGACUGAAGGAGAUACAGAAGAUCACCGAAAUUCAUGUUAGCAAAUCAAAACAAGAAUUCCUGCAUUUCAUUUCCAGGAAUGCUCAGAUAUAAAUUAAGAACAUACCUUUCCAGGAUCAUCAGUUAAUGCAUCCAACACAUCCUCGGAACCAUCUUUACCAGCUGCAAUGUGAAUAGGAGUCAAACCUCCAGGGCCUAGUACAUCAGGUCUAAACAAGAAGGUUUUAUCAACACCAGCAGCGACUGUCCCGUUCUCAAAUCCUAAUUUAUCUGAAGCGUUCUCCGGAAUAAAUCUUAAAAGGAGCUCCACUAGAGGUCUACAAUUUUUCCUAACAGCUCUGUGAAGAAGACUCAUCUCUGUUAAUGCAAGGUCGAUAGAGUGGUGCUC
rnacentral:lncRNA from 1 species